CCUAGCCCAAGAGAUCGGGAUAACACCUGGAAACAGAUGCUAAUACCGGAUAACAACAGAUGAUGCCUAUCAACUGUUUAAAAGAUGGUUCUGCUAUCACUCUUGGAUGGACCUGCGGUGCAUUAGCUAGUUGGUAGGGUAACGGCCUACCAAGGCGAUGAUGCAUAGCCGAGUUGAGAGACUGAUCGGCCACAUUGGGACUGAGACACGGCCCAAACUCCUACGGGAGGCAGCAGGC
rnacentral:rRNA from 1 species